UUUUUUUUUGUACAGGCAGCGACUCCUGGACGACUGCUCACCCUUAUGUAUAUUCCUAAUCUUAAAUGAAAAGGCAGAUCACCUGCCGUUCGAGUAAAACAAAGUCUCCAAAGUGUUUGAUGCUUCUUCAACCCCUUCUUGCUUUCAAAAAUAAUAGCAGGCAAUAAACGCAAACAGUAACCGGCCGGAGGUACCGACUGAGCCACUUUAAUUCAUCUUAAGUGUGAUGACUGGUUAAAAUAUUUCUGGAGGCACAAAAGUCCCUCUGCUGCCAGCAAAAAGAGGGAAUGUGAAAGAGGAUUUCCCUGUCAGAUAGCUGUAGUGGAUUUAAAUUCAUCCAACUUCUUCCCACUGAACAUAACAGGAAAAGAAACAGAGCUCACUAUGUCCAUAACACUGAGGUCCACUGCAGAGAAAAGCCCAACUUGAUCAUAAUUGCUUCAAGAUAAGUCCAUUCAACCCGGUCAUAAGCCUUCCUCUUCAUGUCAAGUUUCAGAGCGCAUGACGCGUUUUUGGGCUUUGUUCCUCUUCAUAUGUAAGCAUUCAUAAGCCGAUAUGAUAUUAUCUGUAAUAAGGUGCUCUAUCAAAAGUUGAUUGCUAUUCAAAAUUGAUCUCAUGGAGUACUUUCUUUAACAAGUUACCCAAGACCUUAGAGGCAAUCUUGUACAGACUGUUGUGCAACCAAAUAGGCCAAAACUGAGAGAGACUAGAGGGGCCAGGGACCUUCAGAAUUAACACCAAAAAGUACUUGUUACUGACUCCACGAUGUCCUUACCCUCAACAGUUUUAAGAACCGUUCGAGUGACAUCCGGUCCACGCACUUCCCAAUGAUGCUGAAUUUUUUGGCCGGCAAACCAUCUGGGCUAGGAGCUUUCAAAAAAGACAUCUUGAAAAGAGCGCAUUUAAACACCUCUUUGGUGCAUGGUGCAGGCAUUAAAGAGUACAUAUUCUGCAACACCUUGCAAAGGAUAGUGUUCAAAACCUUCUCCAUCUCCAAAGCUCCUUCAGAACAUAUGUCGGGUCUUCACACUUGGCCCCACACACUGGUCGCGUGUGAAAAUGAAGGCACACCAUCAGUAACCUAUUAGUGUUAGCGUUCCAAAUAUGCCCACGCCACCGGUAUUUUGGAAAAGUAGUGGUGGUGUGGGUUGAAAGUAGCGAUGCUCAAACGUCGUUGUCAGCGGAUCCAACCACCAACGGUUAGAUCCUUGGUUUCACCUUGAAAAUAAAGUACAAGCAAAUCCAGGUGAUUCCUUCAACAAGGAUACAACGCAAAACACCGCCAUUGCCAUGUAUAACUAACUAGGAUCAAACCUAAGAUUUUCAUGCUGGAGCUCGAGGCUAGGUACUCGAGAAGCACCAGCAAAUCAAAAUCAUCAUGUGUUGCCGCCGCCAUCAUACCCCGCCUGAGCUUUGCCCCGCGGAGCUCCAACGGUGGCUCAAAGCCCUAGAUCGGGUCGGGAGGGAGAGGGUCGGUGGGAGGAGAUCGGGAGGGAGAGGGCCGAGGAGAGCGGUGGCGACAACACCUUUAUGCUUAGAAUAAAGUCAUUCAUAGUUUUAAGAUUUGACUUUUGAUGAGAUAUACUUUUUGAGAAAAUAUACAAUUUGUUUCUGUAAUUAACAUAUGUUAUACCUAGGGCCUAAUUUCAAACAUUGCACAGGGCCUCUCAUUUCUCCGGUACGGCCCUGCAGAUCAUGCAUUAGCAUCAUGUUUAACAUUUCCAUCACUGCUCCUUGCACUACAUGUAAUUCAACAGUAGCCUUGAUGGUUGGGUCCUACUUUUCCGCGCAGCGAAAAUAAAGUGUAUUGGUACGCCUGAGCUGCCUAUCCUUCCAAAAUUGACCAGUACCAAGACGGAGAACAGGCUUGGGUACCUCUGGUUUGUGUCCCAAAUGUUCAGUACGGCCAUGGAAGGGACGAGGUGCCCAGCCCACUGAUUGAGAUCUUCAGUUACCUCCUGCUGAACUUGUGCCAAUAGACUCCACUGUGACUCCACUGCACCUCGCAAAUUCAGGUAUCAGGCCACGGAUAAAUUGGGAUACAAAGAAUUGCUCGUCAUAUCAUGGGUUGGGCACUGAAAUCUGCUGCCGAUACUCUUCCACAGCGCUGGCGUUGCUUGAAUGAGAGUAAGGCCUUCAUGUGUUUCCGGUGAAAUGAAAUCGACCGCACGAGAAUCGGAGAAUCAGCACCGUGUACCCCGGCCACAGCCCCUCGGUCGGUGACAACUGCCGGCGUGAUUGCCGACGUGAGGUUCACUAUGCCCGACUUGGGAGAGAAGAAGAAGAAGACAUAGACGAGAGGUAGGAGUAGGAGGAGAGUUCAGUUUACUUUAUUCUUCAGACGUAGUAGAUUGUUUCAGUUUUACAGCACAAAGCUUAUAAGCUCCACACACGCGCGCGCGCGCGCUAGUACGCGACGCACGAUAGCUUUAACUUAACCCAUGCCUGCGCCACUUUAUUUACCGUCGUCCUCAUCGGUCGGGUGGCGCACUCCUCAGUCUACAGUACGUUUCGUCCCCAGACGUGACAUAGUUUCUCUACUUUUAGAGGCACCAGUUCAGCAGCAGAACCACGCCGAUCACCAAAAUGAAGAGGGAAACAAUCAGCCACAGAACUUCCUGCAGCAAUUCAGCUCAACUAGUCAGUUCAGUUCAGCAGUGAUACCAGAAUGC
rnacentral:lncRNA from 1 species